rnacentral:rRNA from 1 species
UACAGAGGUCUCAAGCGUUGUUCGGAUUCAUUGGGCGUAAAGGGUGCGUAGGCGGCGCGGUAAGUCGGGUGUGAAAUCUCGGGGCUUAACUCCGAAACUGCAUUCGAUACUGCCGUGCUUGAGGACUGGAGAGGAGACUGGAAUUUACGGUGUAGCGGUGAAAUGCGUAGAUAUCGGGAGGAACACCAGUGGCGAAGGCGGCUGCCUGGGCCAGUUCUGACGCUGAGGCGCGAAAGCGUGGGGAGCAAACAGG